AACAUUGUACAAAAAUACCCUUACAAUAUUUCUUGCACUAUUUUUCAGCUGCACCACUGCAACGGUACUGAAUGUACAAUGUGGAACAUACAGUGCUACCAGAAUAAGCCGAUUUCCAAACAAAUGUUUCUGAGCUGGCUCUUUUUCAUGAAUCAAAAACACAUGGAGGCCCGUGAAUACAAAAACGGAUGGUAGUAGAUACUGGACGCCCGGGACGAAGAGAUGCGGCAGUGAAUGGGGUGGCCAGGCUACUGUCCAGAGGUGGCAACAGCCAACCCUGGCUCCACCCCCGGUUGGGAACAAUAUGAUGACGGGAACAAAAAUGACACUGCAGAAUGACCCAGAGGCCUUCAAGUGGCUCUGAAGUGGCUCACAGUGGGCGGUCCAUCUGGUAGGCCACAGCCCGAAACAGCAUUGCUAGCGGUUCCGCACACUGAUGCUGAGCGAGGUCGGUCAGCCGCUCACCUUCGCACAACAGCUCUGUGAAUCCUGCCAGUGGUGGUUGUUGGCUGAGGAGGACCUCCUCAACAUCGUGGAGCUGGAGCUGUUCAUCCCCCGGCUGCCGAAGGGGAUGGCAAAGUGGGUCCAGUGCAAUUGUACGGCAUCGCUGGAGGAGGCAAUCUAGUUGGCAGAGGACCAUAUAGCAGUGUAUUCAGAGGACGGCAAGAUCCCCCCCGAUAAGAGGUCAUUGUACUGUAAAACAUACAACAACAACAACAACGCCUCCACAACAACACGUCAAUGCCUAUUUCACCUUUACUUCCGUAGUCCGCCCAGUAGUGGUGAGAACAGAGAUGGCAAGGAGAGAGAGUGGGUCAGUCAAGAGCAGAGAGCACCUUCGCACAACGGCAAGAUCACCCCCCCCCCCCCCCCGCGCACUUCCAUCCCUUCCCCAUAUCCUGUUCCUGUUCCCGGGAAACAGGGAAUUCCUUCCCCAAAACUCAUCCCCUGGUCCCAUUCAUCCCACUGGCUUCCCCUAACCCUCACCACUCUCCCCAAAGGCUGGUGAAUUCACCGCGGGUGUGGGUACAAAGUCUGGGCCUGUCUGUUGGAGCUGCGGGGGUCCUGGGCAUUUACAGGAACGAUGCCCCAUGAUGAAUAUUGAGAUAUUAGUCUGGGUACCUGACACACCACAGGCCGCCCCAAUCAUGCAGGAGCAUACCGGAUACCUGUGAGUAUAAAUGGGGUACAUAUCAAGCCUUGGUGGAUUCAGGUUGUAAUCAAACCUCUAUUCACCAAAACAUGAUUCAAUCCAAGGCUGUGGAUACAAGCCGCCAGGUGAAGGUAAGGUGUGUGCAUAGGGAUAUUCACGAUUACUCAUUAGUAACAGUCCUCAUUCAAUAUCGGGGACAAAAGCAUAGUGUAGAGGCUGUGGUAAGUCCCCGCCUCACCCAUCUAUUAAUCUUGGGAACGAAUUGGCCGGCAUUUACUGCUUUAUUGAGGGAAAUCUGUGUGGAUGGAUGUCUCAGUGUGUGGUUUCUGAUGCACUGGCUGGGGAGGCAGAGCCGAGGUGUUUAUGUCAGCUCCACCUCAGGAUAACAUAAGGGAGAGGAAAGUGCCAGCUUCCCCAGCCCUUAGAGGAUUCCCUGCAGGGGAUUUCCCUCUGGAGCAAGAAGAGACCCUUAGGGAUGCCUUUGAUCAAGUGAAAGUGAUUGAUGGUCAAUGUCUCCAGCCAGACAUUGCACUCGCUAAUCCAUAUUUUUCAAUUAUCGUUCGUAUCGAGUGACACAGGAUGCUCAGACAAAGGAAAAUACAACCCAAUUGUUAGAACUGAUAAGCUUUGGAAAAUGUUAUUGCAGAAGGCAUAUUUUAAUCCUUGAAUAACAUAAAGUGCGAGUAAGGGCAGCCCGUGGACUUUCUGGUGCCAUCCUAGGGUAAGAUGGUGCCCUCCUAGGGAGUUAGUGCCCUAAGCAGACUGCGUAGUCUGCUUAUAGGGAGCGGUGGUACUGCUUACACUAUGUGAAUUGUAUGAAUUAUUAGGGAUUAAAUCUAUUUGGACCAGCAUUUACCACCCUCAAACAGACGGCUUGGUCGAACAAUAUAAUCAGACAAUAAAGAAUAUGAUUUGUAAUUUUGUGCAAAAAGACGCUCGAAAUUGGUACAAGUUGCUCGAGCCCCUGUUAUUUGCAGUACAAGAGGUCCCGCAAGCCUCCGCGGCUUUCUCCCCAUUUUAAUUAUUGUACGGCCAUUGACCGCUCAGCGUGUUCAUUGUCCUAUGGGAAAAUUGGGAGGAGAGACCUUCAAAGAGCAAAAACAAAAUUCAAUACUUUCUUGACCUGAGAGCAAAACUCCACACACUGGAGCAGUUAACACAGGAGAAUUUGUUCCAGGCUCAAGAACAUCAAAGCCGGCUGUAUAAUAGGGGUACUAGGCUACGGGAAUUUGCCCCAGGAGAUACAAUUUUUGUAUUACUACCCACAUUGAGCUCUAAAUUACUCACCAAGUGGCAAGGACCCUUUGAGGUCACACGGCGGGUUGGGGAAAUCGAUUAUGAGGUGAAACGAACAGAUAGAGGAGGAGCACGUCAAAUUAACCACCUCAAUCUCCUAAAACUGUGGAGAGAGGCGAUUCCCAUGACAGUGACGAUGGUGGUUCCAGAGAGGGAGAAGCUCGGACCGGGGGUGAACUUAAAAGCAACCGAUCGAGUCACCCCAGUCAAUUGCUGAGACCACCUCUCACCAUCACAAGAAAAUUCUUCGACGUGUUCUCACCUCUUCCUUGUCGUACGAAUCUCAUAGAGCACUAUAUCAAAACGACCCCAGGGGUAGUGGUAUGCAGUUGUCCCUACCAAAGAAUUAAAGGCCAUGCUAGAUAUGGUGAUAAAAGAAGUUGCCCACAUUGACUGGGCAAGCUUGGUUGUGUUGUGAUGGCUCGGUCCGAUUCUGUGUGGAUUAUAGAAAAGUCAAUGCAGUGUCUAAAUUUGAUGAAUAUCCAAUGCCUCUUAUUGAUGAACUGCUUGAUCGUUUAGGCGUGGCUCGCUUUUAUUUUCACUAGAUUUGACAAUGGGUAUUGGCAGAUCCCCUUAACUCCCAUGCACCAUGAAAAAAACAGCAUUUUACACACCGUUCAGCUUACAUCAAUUUAUCACCCUUCCUUUCGGUUGGUUUGGGGCCCCGGCUAUGUUUCAGCAGCUCAUACCCCCAUUGCCCUACUGAGGCCAGUGAGCCAUCCGGCCUGCCACCUGGAAGUGUGCAAUAGGACGGAUGGAAGUAAGGUAUCUGGGCUUCCACUUGGGUCAUGGACAGGAGUAGCUGCAAAUUGAUAAGACUGUGGCAAUUGUAGCCUGCCCAAGACCAAAGACCAAAAAGGAGGUGAGACAGUACCUGGGGCUGGCUGGCUAUUAUUGGAGGUUUGUGCCUAAUUAUUCUGAUGUCACCAGCCCGCUGACUGAUGACGGAGCUGUGCCAACAGGCUUUCUUCGAACUGGAGAGUUUAACUUACAAUUAAAAGCCGCACUCUGUGGCGGCCCACAGUUACAUUCCCCUUACUUUUCUCUCCCUUUUGUUUUACAGACGGUUCCCCAGCCUGAGUCGCGGGGUAGGGGAGGUGAGGCAGAGACAUGGCCGAGCACCAUGCUGUGGAGAGUGAAGCAGGAGAGAUGAGUGGAGAAUGAUUUCCACCUGUGGUUAACACCUGUCAUGUGUUUCACUGAAGAGUGAUUUGGGCUUUGAAGAAGUGGGGCAGUGGUGGUGCAACUUUUGAGUGUUUGAAUUAAAGUUUAAGCGUUUUAAGCAAACACGUUUAUUUUUGUAAAUAAAAGAGUGACAUUCCUGAGUUGGAAUCGCCGUCUCCAGCUUCCUCAUUCCUGAACCUUAUUACAGUUAUGUUUUUUUUUUUUGUUUUACAUAUUUGAUCAUAAUAUAUAAUUACAAAAUGUAAAGGUUUUAAUUUUUUUUAUGUGAACCAAACAUUUGACCCUGUUUGGUUUUUUGUAGAGCUAAAUUAUAUUACAUUUCAAAUUUAUUUCUUAUAUCUGUUCUGUUAAAAUUAUCUCAUCAGGACAGUUGAAUUGCAUUUAUUUUUAUAGAUAUUUACUCCUCAAUAUAACUAAAAGACUCGUUAGUGGAAUUAUUUAGGAACCAGAAUCGUUAAGUGAAUUGGGAAUGGGAACCAAAAUCUUUAAAUAUCUUACUAUUCCCAUCCCUAAAUGCAUCAAAAAGGGUUCGAAAAACUUUCACAGUUCUCAACCAUGCACAAGGACAACUUGAAAAGUUGUAAACAUACACCUGCCAAUGGUGUCCUUCCAAAAAGGGAGGCACAUCAAAUAAUCAUUGGUAUGUCGCCCAACUGAAUCUAAACAUGCCAAAUGCUUCUAAACAGACAGAAGGUUCACAUUUUCGUUCCAACAAGUUAAGAAAUGGAAUGUCCUUCAAUGCUUAAAACACAGUGAACUUUAGUUCUCAGAAACCAAAACAGUACUUCUGUAGGAGGAUCUGUAUAAACCUUUAACAAAUAGACUUUAAUGAUCUGUAGUGGUGCCAAAUAACAGAUAACCACAGCAUGUUCUGACAGAACACGCCUCUUUAAGACUGGUGAAUCUGGUUUUGUUCUUUUGAAAGCAUAUUUAAUUAUAAACAGUAUGUCUUGUGCUUAAGAAUUCUGUUGUUCUUUACAUCUCCACCCCCCAUUAUUAAACUUUUUAAACAUCUCACACUAUCUAACAGUAAACGCCCUGCUACGGAAAGAGUAAAUGCUGUAUUGGGUUUUGUUUGAUCUUGUGCCUGGGUGUGGACCAUAGUUGCAAAUUCUGCUUAUGAUAAGAGACUUAGGACUUGUUUUGUUUUUUUCUCCAGAAAGUCAUUUGUAAAUAUGGGUUAUUUCCAGUAUUCAGUCUGCAUUUGUAUCAGGCGUGUCAAUCAUAUGGCUAGUGGAAGAGUCCAAACCUGGUCCAAAUUAACAUGCAUUCAUACUUUAUAAGUGUAAUACAAAUUAUGCAUUCAUUGAAUAGAUUAAAUGAUCUAAUUUUUAAAUAUGACAGUACGGCAGCAUUUAAAACUGUACUGAUCAGUACACUAGCAUCCAGCAUAUUAAUUAACACAAGGGAAAUAUGUGUUGCAUAUCCCUCUUCGUUCUGCUUUUGUGUCUUCUUUUUUUAUUAAAAUAUACCUGAAUUUCUUGGAAAACACUUGUCUCUUUCACAGAGCUAUACAUCUCACGUCUCCACCACAAGUUGUGGACACCUUUAAAAACUUCUACUCCCUGACACUACAAAAUCGCUUUUAGGCUUGGAUUAGGACAUGUUGACAACCAGAAUUCUGAGUUUCACAUUUAUUCAUGAUGAUUUAGCUCUGUGUACUUGAGAGAUAAUGCACUGUAAGUAAAUCACUCAGUGUGGGGGUAAAGCACUUACAGAAUAUACACUGAUAUUUGUAACGGUUGUGACUUUUUCCCACUCUGAAGGCAUUUCUGGGGGCGUUUAGUGUACGAAUCAACAUCAUUGCAUCUGGGAAAGUUUGGAAGUGCUCAAGGGCACAAGCUGCCACAGACAUUCAAAUUAUUGGUACUCUGAGCUCUUCAUUUACUUCCUAAUCUGGCCUGUUAGACCUCAAAGCCGGGCUAAUUACCUCAACAUAAGAAAGAGGAAGAUCUG